rnacentral:lncRNA from 1 species
AUCCUGUGUGCCUGGUUGGUUUUUUCUUUUUCUCAACAGGUCCCCCAAAAGACUUGGUUCUGCCAGAAGUAAAUGAACUAGAAUUUUUACAACAGUAGAGAACUGGAUUCCCAAGUUCUGGCUCUGCAGCCACAUAACUCUCUGAGCUAUGCCUGGAAAAUUUUAUUCAUAAAUAACAUUCUUUCUUCUUAUAGUACAGUAAGAAUAGUGACAGCAGAGCAAUGAUGGAAGAAUGAUUUCCCACCACCACAAUGGAAAAGCUUGAAGAAGCAGAUCUCCUUCUCAACCUGUGGAGCAGAAAUCUAACAAAAGGAGAGAGAGAGAUCCAGAACAUCCAAAAGUCACUCAUCUGUCAUCCCUGGGAAUUUACAAGCGUCCCUUUCUUCUUCCCCCCACUCCCAGGAUCUUUGUUUACCUUUUAGGUUUUUUUUUUUUACUAUAUCCCCGGCCUGGGAGCACCCUUUUUAUUUGGGCUUUUUUUUGUCCAGCAGGCCCUGCCCCUAGUUGUGCCAGCCAAUCCCUGGUUGCCAGUGUGAACUCUCAGCCAAACAUAAUGCUCCCAGGCUCCCAUGUGGCUGCCACCAUUACAGAGCCACAGAGAAGUGUGGGAGGCAGGGCUGCCACCCUGACCACAACGUGGGACUCAGGAGUAGAGGAAACUGAUUUAAAAGAAAAACAGAGACCAGUACUGAUAACAAAUCUGCAAAUGUGAAAAUGAGAUGAGCCAUACAUUAUAGAAGUUACCCAGAAGGUAUGAACUGUCAGAUCUGUGUCAAGGACUCAGAUGAAAUACAGGCAGGCGGUGUCAUUCCCUUUAAGCAAUCACUGGUGCCAUGAGGCAUGUCAGAGAUAGAAAACCACAG